rnacentral:rRNA from 1 species
UACGAAGGGGGCGAGCGUUAUUCGGAAUCACUGGGCGUAAAGCGUGCGUAGGCUGUUCGGCAAGUUGGAAGUGAAAGCCCAGGGCUCAACCCUGGAAUUGCUUUCAAAACUGCCAAACUAGAAUCCGGGAGAGGAUAGCGGAAUUUCCAGUGUAGUAGUGAAAUACGUAGAUAUUGGAAGGAACACCAGUGGCGUAAGCGGCUAUCUGGACCGGCAUUGACGCUGAGGCACGAAAGCGUGGGGAUCAAACAGG